UACGUAGGGGGCUAGCGUUGUCCGGAAUCAUUGGGCGUAAAGCGCGUGUAGGCGGUCCGGUAAGUCCGCUGUGAAAGUCCAGGGCUCAACCCUGGAAUGCCGGUGGAAACUGUCGGGCUAGAGUCCGGAAGAGGCGAGUGGAAUUCCUGGUGUAGCGGUGAAAUGCGCAGAUAUCAGGAGGAACACCAAUGGCGAAGGCAGCUCGCUGGGACGGUACUGACGCUGAGACGCGAAAGCGUGGGGAGCAAACAGG
rnacentral:rRNA from 1 species